AUGGCCGCGGUAUUUUGACCGUGCAAAGGUAGCAUAAUCAUUAGUUUUUUAAUUGAAAGCUGGAAUGAAUGGUUGGACAAGAAAAUUUCUGUCUCUAUGUAAAAUUUAGAAUUUUAUUUUUUAGUUAAAAAGCUUAAAUUUUUUUAAGGGACGAGAAGACCCUAUAGAAUUUUAUAUAUUUAUAUGUUUUUAAUGAUUGGAUUUUUUAUUUGAGGAUUAAUUAAAUAUAUUUGGUUGGGGUGAUUGAAAAAUUUAAAUAACUUUUUUUUGUUUGUUUCAUUGAUUGAUGAAUAAUUGAUCCAUAAGUUGUGAUUAUAAGACUAAAUUACCUUAGGGAUAACAGC
rnacentral:rRNA from 1 species